rnacentral:misc_RNA from 1 species
GAUGAAGAACGCAGCGAAAUGCGAUAAGUAAUGUGAAUUGCAGAAUUCAGUGAAUCAUCGAAUCUUUGAACGCACAUUGCGCCCGCCAGUAUUCUGGCGGGCAUGCCUGUUCGAGCGUCAUUACAACCCUCAGGCCUCCGGGCCUGGCGUUGGGGAUCGGCGGAAGCCCCCUGCGGGCACAACGCCGUCCCCCAAAUACAGUGGCGGUCCCGCCGCAGCUUCCAUUGCGUAGUAGCUAACACCUCGCAACUGGAGAGCGGCGCGGCCACGCCGUAAAACACCCAACUUCUGAAUGUUGACCUCGAAUCAGGUAGGAAUACCCGCUGAACUUAAGCAUAUCAAUAAGCGGAGGA